AUAAUCGCCUCAAACCGUAAGGAGAACAUGUGAAUUUUAUUUUGUCUACCCUCUCUCAGUCUCGCGUCAGUCCCUUCAGUGAACAAACGAGGUCGUCGGUCUUUACGCUGAAACUGAAAUCCUACGAUCGGAGAAGAUGAUCUACAGAAAGUGGAGUCUGCUCACCGGUCCGACGGCCAUUAUUGGUGGUAUAGUCGGAGCCACCAUCGUCGCCAACUACCUUUUCAUCCAGAAUGUAAACUUCCUUCCUCCUUCCGCUCUUCUUUCCAUUUCCCAGCCCUAGAUUUACUUUAAUGCGUCCGCUGUCGCUUUUCUUCAUUUCAAUUUGAGUUCUCCUUUUUUUUUCAAGCUCUGGUUAUUAGCUUGGACAGUUUCUGCGAGCGAUCUCUCUUUCCUUCGGUUGUUAAUUCCAAAACCCCUAUUUGUUUCAGGCCUAGUGUUUGAAGUGUUUUGUGCUUUAGCCAUGUUGAAAUGGAAUGGCCUUUUCUUUGCAAAUGUGCAGGAUUGGCUUGUGAAACAAGACCCGAAGAAGAAGCCAGAUUCUUCAGUAGCAUCAACCAAAUAAGUUUGAACAGUGACGGUACUGUUGUUAAGCCUUCUCCUUUUGGUGAACUGUUUGUUGAUUUUGCUUCCCCUAGACAUGUGAGUCUGAUUUAUUUUAAAGUUUGGAAUGUCACCGACCUUUUCUCCAGUGGAAUGAAUAAUAAGAAGAUGGAUAUUGUAGAUGAGUGUUUCUGCUCUUUCCUUUGAUCAAUAAUUAAAGUGCUUAGUUGGUUUUCGUUUACAGAGCUAUACAACUCUUUUUUCAUGAAUAGGCGCAUAAAUCUAACCUCAAGUUGCUUAAUCCCAAGGUUUGUGAUAAGAAAUGUUGUAAUUUUUUGUGCUCUUGCUACCGUUGAGUGAUCAUGUUUGGAUAAUUCACCCAACCCACCCCACUGUGGCUAUAAUGUCUUGAAGUUCUUUGUAAAAUUGUAAAGUUUGCUCAACUCAUUUGCAGUUUUAUAAUGUUCCUCGCCAACAUUCUCUAGUUAGAGCGACUGUUAGGAUUCAGCGAAUGUAGCAAGCUUAGUUUGUGGUGAGCUGGGUUUUCAAUAUGUUUAGAGAGUGCUUUAAAUCACGCAGCUGCUAGAAAUCCGAAUUCGCAUUCAUGGCUCACUUUUGGAAUUAAGGAUGGCGGUAUAUGUGAUUGACUAUGACACUGAUUGAGUAUGACACUGCAUUCCGUUAUCUCCCUAUUCAUGCCAUCUCUUUUAGCAUCCAUCUCCUUCGUCAAUUCAUGCCUGGGCAAGCACCAAAAGCAAUUAUUUCGACCUUUUUUACAUUCUUGUCUUUUGUUUUUCCGAAAUCUUAAUACUGCCUUGCAUGUAUGGGUUAUCCAGCGGAUAGCCUUGUAUAUGUUCAGAACAGAUCAGAUUGCAGUAGCCUUCUUUAAUGCUUCCAGUUGAAGGGUUCUCAUGUUCGAGUCUCUGAAUCAAUUCAACACUGAUCCUGACCUUCUUUGGAGUUGGAGGGAUCCCUCUUUGACUUCUACUGCAGAUCCCUCAACUCUUGAUUUGAUUCUCAAGCGAUCUGAUUUGGACUUAACUCCAAUACCUGCAAUUGUUUAUGGCGAUAUUUUCUGUAUGGUUGAGUUGCUGAUAUUCAUGAUUACAUAGAUUGGACGUAAAUUCUAUGCAUAUUAUAAGUUGUUAUUAACCAUGAAGUGGAAGAUGAGUGGUCGAUGGAUUGAAGAGAUUUGAAAGUAUAGCUAUAUUUUCUGUGUUCAACUGCUGCUACCAGCAAGCAAGCAAACAAGAAGAAAGAAGUGGAAGAUGAGUCUCGUUACGCAUCAUAGAAAUAGAGCAACAGGCAAAUACUCCAUCCACUUCUCCAAGGACUUCUCUUACACGCUCAUUUUUCCAGCAACUUUCCGCACAUUCCAACCAGUUUUCAUAAACAUUUUUCUUUUUUGCGACGUUUGGUUCAUGCUUAUUUCGAUGACAUUUCAUAUGUAGUAUACUACGGAACCUAUUGCGUACAUAUGCACAUAAUUUUGUACUUGUGUAUGUACGGUUUACAUACUCUCCAUGUACAUGAGCACAAUACAAACGGCGAACUUGCUUUUGUACUCGUUUUCUGUAGAAGUUUCACAUUUUGUCCAUGUGUACAUCCCUUUGUACACAUGUACACACUUUCCGUAUUUCCAUAUAGGUUCACAUGUACACAUUUCUGAGUACGAUGCAAGGUGAUGGUGACCUUUUUGUACUCGUUUUUAUACAUAUUCGCUUUUCUAAGUGAUGCAUCUUAGACAGGGAGGAGGAGCUGGGUGCGAUAGGGUAGGGAGAGCAGCGGCUGGUCUGGAGCGACGGAGAUAUUGAGACACAAUGGUUCAGCUAAUUAUAAAAUAAAAAUUUAAUAUCCAACUUACCCCUCUCGAUUUUUGUCCUUGAAAUCAUUGAAUUAGGUUCUAAACUUAAUUUGAUCCAUAAGUAACGUUGAUAAUUCCAAUGUCUGGGUGACGAAUUAACCAAUAAAAAAAGCAUCGUACACGUCGUACUAAAAGUUCGUUCUGAUCGAUAACUGAUAAUUGUGUUCCAUAUAUGCCUGCGGCUGCCUGUAUUGUCUGUUUCCCUCAACCCCAACAAAUAAAACCACCUCUUCUUCCCACUAAAUAAACAGAGGAGCCCUGAAUAUUGUCAGCUCACCGCAAUUCCUCAACAACAACACAGCAAGAUAUCGAUGAACGGUGCCACGUGUACGGUGGCUGAUGCGCCGGCAGGAUCUCCUAAUAAGCCGACUACGGCAGGGUCUCCCAACGUUGGUAAGGAAAGAUCAAGCGGUGGCAGGUCGGGAGAAGCUCUUGAUCGGAAUCCUUCAGUAUUUCAGAUGCCAGUACAUUACCCUCGUUACAGCCGAGCAGAGUACGAGACGAUGGCCGAGUGGAAGCUUGAUUGCUUGCUUAAAGCCUACGGCUUGCCCGUCGCCGGAGAUGUUAAGAAUAAGCGCAGCUUUGCAAUCGGAGCUUUUCUUUGGCCUCUCAGUUACUGAAUAGAAUGGAAUUGCUGAUGAUCACUAAUGUUGUUAAUUAAACUACGUACAUAGCUCUGUGCAUGUGUUAAUGUUAAUAAAUAAUGAAGACGGAUUCAUGAAUUUUAUUUGUUGGGUUUGAUCAAUUGCUUUGUUUGUUCAAUAAAUAAUAAUAAUAUAUACCAACCACUGUUUCUAAAUCUCACCACAAGGUUGAUGAUGAGUUUUCGUACCCUUUCAAGUCUGAGAAACAGCAAAUUUAUCUAUGGAAUUACAUCCUACUUAGAACGAAUGGAUCAAAUUACUCUCAGAUGCACCAAAUUCAGAUACAUCUUUCCUUGCUGAAUGUGUCAAAUCAACCCUAAACCUAAACAAAACACACGAACUGUAAAACAGCACUGCAACUAACAUCGAUAUACCGUUUUGGAUGGACGAUCCUUUUUCGUCCAUUUACUAUCGCAUUUACCAGCUCCUUCUCCUCUGCAACACGACGAUAGUUUAGGGGCCUCAAAACACAGAGCAAGGAGGACAGGCUGCUGAAUUGCUCACCAGCAAAGCUAUCUAUCUUAUCUCGUCAUGGAUGGCAUUGGCAGGCAGAGUCUGGAAACCAGUAAAGCAGUCCACUCGCCCCUUAGCAAAUAUCUCAAUCUUGGUAUCUUUGCUGCAACGUGUGUUUAACUACUUCGUAGAAGGAUACAACUAUUCCAACAGAAGGACCUGCACGAGCUACACGAGGCCCCACUCCCAUGAACAGCCCCUUCACUCUCCCAUCCCUGUACCAUAUGACCCCUAAAUUAUGCUCUGUUCGCUGAUGAACAUCUGCCCGGUUAGCGGACAAAGCAUGUUUUAUGUGCAUUACUUCACAGACACUGAAUUAUAGGAUGAAUCAAGUGUAAGUUUGAAACAUACCUCCAAAUUUCUCGCAAGGUUUGGACUGUAGUCAUACUUGUAGCUCUACUCGGAUCCUUCUGCAACCACAACUACCAUUAUUAGAUAAAAUAAUAACACAUGCUAGUUACCUCAAUCUGCAUCUCAAAUACUAGGUUGAGCUUAAUCUGCUUUCAUACAUGAUGGAGUUACCUCAAUCUGUCUUCUUGUCUUCGCCACAUCUAGUGGGCAAGUAGCUGCAGCUGCAAAGGUCCCAGCAAUGAAACCAGCAGAAAAAUUUGCACCUACUACACUGGUUACACCAUUUUUAUCAUCCAUCAUAGAAAGAACUUGCCUCCUUAUCUGAAGGAAAACCAACUAGAUAUCAAUGUACAUGUCAUAUCAAAAGUUUCUUGGAGAUCUAUAUCAGUUCUCUGUGAUGUAACAAACUCACCGGCUCUAGGGCUGCCCAGCAAAUUGCAGAAAAGGGAACAUCUCGAGCAAUUUGUGCUCCAAGACCAGUCCACAAGAUACGAUAACUUAGAACUGCUGCUAUUAAGUAACAUAAUAACAGUAGUUUAACAUCAGUAAGGCAUAUUUAGAUAUCAUGAAUUCCAGCUAUUCCGUUUUGAUCCCUGGUCAAUCUAUGUGGGAGAGAAGAAAAAAUAACUACUAAUAGUUGAGAAGCAAUACAAUUUUGGAAGUUAUUUGCGCUCCUGGCAGGCUGAACAGCCUCAAUCAGGGUUCUCAAUACUCCUGGCGGCUUCACUCCACUUUGUACUUCAUUGAACGCCUGAUGUAAAGUAAAAGGGGAAUAGCAGGAUAUUUGAAUGUGAUACCAUAAAGAAUUGUCUCGGUGGACGUCAACAUAGAAGCAAAUGAUGAAGUUCUACCAAAUAAAUACUUUAUCCUGAAGGAGGUUCCAUAAAUUAAAUUGGGAUAUCAGAUUAGGCGAUUAACCAGUUCUUCAGAUACAUAUUUUGGACAGAGAGCUUAAGGAACUACAGUGAUUGUAAUAUGUCUUCAUGCAAGACAAAAGUUUAUUUUACACUGUUUCUAUAAACGUUAUUCUCCAAAGAAACAUGCGUUUGCACGAUCAGCUAAGAAAUUCAGUAAAUUUGCAAAUGCUACGUGUGAGAUCAAUUUCACAGUAACUGAAAUUCUUACAUUAAACUCGAUAAUCUAAAUAAUGUAGAAUAUCUGAAAAUCUAAACCAGCACGAAAUCAUUCCAAGAACCAGUCAACUCGAAUAUGCACGAAGGUAGAAACUACCUGCAUGCGGGUCCUUGCCAACUCCACUGGAUAACAAGUAACACAGGCUAAGGAGCGUGCAACUGACCCAGCAAUUAAUGGGACAUAUGGAACUAAGGCUGGCGAAUGUUGAUGCGUGAACUCUUCCAUUAAGUUCCUCAAAAUGUCAUAACAAGGCAAGUAGAUCCCCACCUGGUUGAAAGAAGGUCAAAAACAGAAUAGCAUAAAACUUAGCCUGAAAGUAAAUACAGGUGUCUAGAGCAAAACACACUGAUUUAAGGUAGAAAGACUAACAGUAGGUACAGCCAAAGCCAAACUUGCAUUCGUGCCUCUCCACAAUCUUCCAAAUCCUUCCUGCAUAAAUUCAUAGCUUCCCUGUGAGUAUUCACAUAUUUUCAUUCAACUUCUGACAAAUCCGCCUAUCGACAACCAGGAGAAGUCCAAGGUACUCGUGAAAAAUAUGUCUAUAGUAUAGCUGCAUAUUUUUAAAUCUAGGGAAUCAGUUUUCAUAGUUCUGUUCCAUAUGUUGAAAGAACCCGACAAUCACAGAAUCAGUUUUCGAGAUGCAUUGGAUUUUAAAAAGCAUUCCAAUUAGACAAAUCAACCAACCUGGCGUACAACUUUGUAGAAGACAUCCAAUGUGCCAUUGUACCUGUUACAUCCUGUACAUAGUGGUUUUGAGCCAGGAACUGGAAGCUGUCGCGCCGCUGGAGAUCUACUGUUGGAAAGUAUCUGAAACUUACCACAAAUGACAAAAAAAGAGAGAGGAUUUAAUUUAUGGCCACCAUAUUAGACCAACAAAGCACAAUGUAGCUCAGAAAAUUCAAGUGCUAAUAUAGAAAUGAAACCCCGAAAAUAGUAAUGGAGAGCAGCUUAAGAAUACCUUAUUUGCAUCCAAGCAUUCUGGCCUACAAAUACCCUCAUAAGGAACUCCAGCAGCCUGCGCUUGCAAUCUUGUCUACAAACGAGAAAAAUCGGAAAGUAAUCCAUCAAAUCCGAGAGACCGAUUUCAGAAGAUUAAAAAACUGAACAGGUUAACAAGAUCAUGCUAUGGAAUGAGAAUAGGAUAGGACCUGAUUCGAGUAUUCAAAAUUCUGCAAUUCAACUCUUGAGUUAUUUUUGUGUUUGGCUACGAAACAAAGAAAAUUUAGGGGAAGUACCUUGGCGACGUCAAGAGGAUUAACAAUGAUGGCGGAGAUAACAGCGGAACCGGCUGCAGCGAAAGCCCUCUCCCCGAAUCCCAAACGGACAUCCGAGGAAGAUGAUGAUGAUGAUGAAACGUCGGAAUCGUCAACAAUGGAGGCUGAAAUCAUCUUAUCGAAGACGUUGAUGUCGAGAGGAGGGGGUAGUGGUGGCUGCUUUGGGCGCUACCGAGGUGAAGGAGGAGGAAGAAGAAGGGCAGCUCUGUCUCCAACCAUGUACCACGAAUUCAAACAGCUAUCGCGGGAGAGAUGCAGAA
rnacentral:lncRNA from 1 species